GUCAAUACCAUGCUGAAUAUACCGGUUCUCGUUAGAUCACCGAAGUCAAGCAUCAUUGGGCGCGGUCAGUACUUGGGUGGGUGACCACCUGGGAACACCGCGUGCCGUU